GAGGUACCUGAUAUAGUCGCUGCUUGUUCCCGCGUUUUGUGGGAUUGAGGAGAGGAAAGUCUGGGCUCCACGAGAGAAUGGUAGCGGAUAACGUCCGCCGGAGUCUGUGACUUCAGGACAAGUGCUACAGAAAACAACCGCCUGUUUUCAGGUAAGGGUGAAAAGGUGUGGUAAGAGCACACCGCGUCCGUGGCAACAUGGAUGGCGAAAGUAAACUCUACCAGGAGCAAGACCAAAUUAGAAAGAAAGUGUACUCUCGCACGUUUGAUCUUUCGGGUGGGUCGCUUGAGGUGCAUAGCAAUGUGCAUCCUAGAUGAAUGACUAUGACUAACAGAACCCAGCUUAUGAGGGUACCUCUGUU
rnacentral:RNase_P_RNA from 2 species